CUGUAAAAUGUGGAUAAUCAUACCACCUUCCUCCAAGGGAAGAUCUUAGAACAGUGCCUGAUGUAUAGUAACUGCCAUCUAAAUGUUAAAAUUAUUGCAUGUGCACUUUGAUUUAUUUUUAAUUUGUGUCCCAUUCGCAGAGCUCCCACUUCAGUCUCUCGUUUGCAUUUCACACAGUGACCCUGCAAGGCAGUUUGCCCCGAAGCGGAGAGAAGUGAGCAAUAAAAGCUUAAUGCAGGCUUUCUAAGGACACUGUUGAGCAGAUCAGACCUGGUCCUGGCCCUCAGGGAGCUUACAGUCUGCCAGAGGACAAACAUAAUGAUCACUUCCAUAAAGGUGUGAUGGCAAACUUGAGUAACUGCUCCAAAGGAAAUUGCGUGGUGCUAGGACAUUAGAAUGGAGGCACUGACCACAUCUAGGGGUGAGUAGAGCCACCAGAAGAUGGAGACCUGAGGGACCAGUGGGAGUCUUGAGAAAAUAGCAGAAGGAGGGAAAGUUCCAGGCAGAGGGACCUGAGAGGUUGCCUUGUGGUAUAUGAAAAGAGAAGGUCAGGAAGUUUAAUCAUCCAAAGUUUGCCAGGCCUUGAGACUGACCCCUCAAGUUACCUGGGGGAUGGGAUUUAUUGUGUGGGUGAUGUUCAUAACAAACCAACAUUGAUUACAUGCAUAUUCUUGCUAAACAUUCUUAAAUGAAUUAAGCCAUAUUUAAUCCUUACAGCAGCCCUGGUGACUUGGUGGUCUUGUCCCUUAAAGGCAAGUGAUCACUACAACCUGUUCUCAUGGCUUCAUUUGGCUCAAAACAGCCUCUCUGACGCAGCUGCUUCUUUUGACACUGUAUCCUCCUCUGCCCACUCUCAUGUUCCUAUCCCCUAAGAAGAUAAGGUUGAGGCGGUUUCUUGCCAUCCAUUGGUAGGCCUGAGGGUGACUGCCUUUGGCUGAUCCCUAGGCUGGUCAGUUGUGGGCCAGAUUAGCAGAAUCCUGACCCAAAAUCCAGCCAUUUAUUUGUGAGGAGCCACUUGUGCCACAGUCAUCAGCCCAAAAUCCAGACACUUAUAUGUGAGGAGCCACUGAAGUGCCUGUCAGCUGUGGGCGCUUGGGGCCUCAUCGAUGGAGCCUUCUGUUGACAUGCCACGGUGAUUCAUAGACACCUGAUGAUCCAGUUGUGACCUGAGGUACCUGAAAUUGAGCCCCAUUUCUCACCUCCAUGACGAUAGGCAUCGUCCAGUGAGGGAGGUCCAUUUCAUAGUUCUUGGCAAGGAAGCAAUCCUCACAACAGAAAAGGCUUGAUGCACAGUGGUGUUCACUGCAGAGUAACUAAGUCAAAAAUCAAGCCUAAGUACCCACUAAUAGAGGAAUGAUCAACUCUGUGGAAUGGCCACUGUGAGCUCUUUGAAAGCAGUAGCAAUGCUGUUUACAAGGGUGAUGCAGACAGAGAAAUGGGCUUUAACUUGGGAGGCACGAUCAUGUAUAGAGGCAGUGUGUUUACAACUGGACCCUAAGCCUCCCUUGGGAACUGGAGCAAAACACUAG
rnacentral:lncRNA from 1 species